rnacentral:rRNA from 1 species
CAAUAGCGUAUAUUAAAGUUGUUGCAGUUAAAAAGCUCGUAGUUGGAUUUCUGGUGGGAGCGAUCGGUCUGGCGCUUAGCGCGAGUACUUGCAUCGUCUCCGGCCAUCCUUGGGGAGAGUCUGUCUGGCAUUAGGUUGUCGGGCAGAGGAUCCUCAUCGUUUACUGUGAAAAAAUUAGAGUGUUCAAAGCAGGCUUAUGCCGUUGAAUAUAUUAGCAUGGAAUAAUAAGAUAGGACUUCGGUACUAUUUUGUUGGUUUGCGCACCAAAGUAAUGAUUAAUAGGGACAGUUGGGGGUAUUCGUAUUCCGUUGUCAGAGGUGAAAUUCUUGGAUUUACGGAAGACGAACUACUGCGAAAGCAUUUACCAAGGAUGUUUNCAUUAA